GGAUCUUUAGCUCAGCUGGUCAGAGCACUCGGCUCAUAACCGAUUGGUCGCAGGUUCGAACCCUGCAAGAUCCACCA
rnacentral:tRNA from 1 species